rnacentral:rRNA from 1 species
CCUACGGGGGGCAGCAGUGGGGAAUAUUGGACAAUGGGCGAAAGCCUGAUCCAGCCAUGCCGCGUGUGUGAAGGAGGCCUUCGGGUUGUAAAGCACUUUCAGUGGGGAAGAAAGCCUUGGGGCUAAUACCCUCGAGGAAGGACAUCACCCACAGAAGAAGCACCGGCUAACUCCGUGCCAGCAGCCGCGGUAAUACGGAGGGUGCGAGCGUUAAUCGGAAUUACUGGGCGUAAAGCGCGCGUAGGCGGUCUGAUAAGCCGGUUGUGAAAGCCCCGGGCUCAACCUGGGAACGGCAUCCGGAACUGUCAGGCUAGAGUGCAGGAGAGGAAGGUAGAAUUCCCGGUGUAGCGGUGAAAUGCGUAGAGAUCGGGAGGAAUACCAGUGGCGAAGGCGGCCUUCUGGACUGACACUGACGCUGAGGUGCGAAAGCGUGGGUAGCAAACAGGAUUAGAUACCCGAGUAGUC